UACGGAGGGUGCAAGCGUUAUCCGGAUUCACUGGGUUUAAAGGGUGCGUAGGUGGGCAGGUAAGUCAGUGGUGAAAUCCCCGAGCUUAACUUGGGAACUGCCGUUGAUACUAUCUGUCUUGAAUGUUGUGGAGGUGAGCGGAAUAUGUCAUGUAGCGGUGAAAUGCUUAGAUAUGACAUAGAACACCAAUUGCGAAGGCAGCUCGCUGCACAAUUAUUGACUCUGAUGCACGAAAGCGUGGGGAGCAAACAGG
rnacentral:rRNA from 1 species